GUAGCCUUUGCUCAGUCAGCUCUCGAAGCUUCUCAGCAGACCAAGAAGAAGAGCGAGGGUCGGAGGUGCAUUAACCGUCGGAGGUCGCGCUUCUGUUCUGCAUCUGCACUUGACAGUCACUGGUUCUGCACCACUGAGCUAAAUAUGUGUAAAUGUAGAGCAUCUGCGUUCCUAUGAGCUGUCAGCCACACCGGGAAGCCUGUCUAUGAAUCUGCAGUCAGACUUCAAUGAUCCAACCCCACUCUCUGCACACAAGAUUGAUGGCAUGCUGCUGUUGACCCCCAAGAGGUUCAUACAAGUGAGACCACUGGAAUUACAUGAUGUCCACACAAGGCGUACCACUGUUCUCCAUGCCCUUCCUGUCUAUCUACGUGAGGAAACCUCUGGGUUUUUGAGGACAUGUGUGGUAAGUCCCAGUAUUGUAAAUUUGAACAAAUCAUUCUAUUUAUUUAUGCAUAAAGACAACACAAGGACAACACACAUGAACAUUUUGGAAAAUGUGCCAUUGUUUCAACUACAAACCUUUGGCAAGAUGUUUAAGCCUGCCACACACGAGAGCAAUCAGCUGAGCAAACGGCCUCGAAUGACUGUUUGCUCAGCAGAUUGCUCGCCAUGUGCGCCUGAUUUUCACUGACUUUUCUGCCUCACGAG